rnacentral:rRNA from 1 species
CACGUAGGGGGCAAGCGUUGUCCGGAUUUAUUGGGCGUAAAGAGCUCGUAGGCGGUUCAGUAAGUCGGGUGUGAAACCCCCGGGCUCAACCCGGGGACGCCACCCGAUACUGCUGUGACUGGAGUCCGGUAGGGGAGCGUGGAAUUCCUGGUGUAGCGGUGAAAUGCGCAGAUAUCAGGAGGAACACCAGCGGCGAAGGCGGCGCUCUGGGCCGGUACUGACGCUGAGACGCGAAAGCGUGGGGAGCAAACAGG